rnacentral:autocatalytically_spliced_intron from 1 species
AACCGCCGUAUGCGAUACACGCUUGUACGGUGGUGUGAGAGGACGGAGGCCGUGAGGCCUCCUCCUACUCGAU